GUGGGCUGGAGGCCGAAGGUGAUAGUGCUGGAGACUUAGCUUUGGUCUUGCUAGGGGCCGGAGCUGGAACCGUGGCAGGAGGAGAAGCCAAAGGAGCUGGUGGUGGGGUAGCUGGAGGAGGAGUAGCAGGAGGGGGAGAAGCAGGUGGUGGGGUAGCCGGAGGUGGAGAAGCCGGUGGGGGAGUUGCGGGAGGUGGAGUAGCCGGGGGAGGAGAAGCUGGUGGUGGGGAGCUAACGGGCGGGGGAGUCGCUGGAGGAGGAGUGGAAACUGGUGGUGGUGAUGAAGUAGGAGGAGGAGAGGAAGCUGGUGGCGGAGAAGUAGUUGUGGGUGUUGGAGGUGGUUGAGUAGUAGGUGGAGGUGUGGAAGCGGGUGGAGUCGGCGGCGCCGGCGUGGAUGUCGGAGGAUUACUAGGAGUAGGAGGAGCUUGGCCUAAAACGCCAGCUACAGCAAUGCAAAACAAAGCUGAUAAGAACAAAAACUUAUUAUUAAGCAUCAUAUUGGAAACAAUGGUGACCCUUUAAUCCUGCACACCCUCUCCGCUUAAACUACGCCCAGCCGUGCAAGCAAAUGAGGGAGAAGAAGAGGCAAGUAUGAGAAAUGAAAAGAUGGUGAUAUUUAUAUAUAGGAUAUGGAAAUUUCCAUAUCAUAUUUCAAUUUAAAAUCCCCAAAACAAAUACCAGCAUUUUUAUUUUAUUACUAAUGGGAAAAUUGCAUUACUAAUCAUAUACAAUAUUCUAUAUUAAUUUAGUGUAAUUUAAUUCUUUCAUUUUUUUAUAAUGUUAUUAAUAGGUCCAAAAUCAAUAUCUCCGAUCGUUAGUUGCUGUCAUUAAAGUGAUGAUACGAAAUUAUUUUUUUUACUAUUAUUCCAUCAUACAAUCAGAGAUAUAGAAAUCAAUCAAUUUUGUUAAACAAAUAAUAAAUUUCAAUCUGAGUCAAAUGCUUAAAGUUGUUAAAAAAAAUUCACGUCAUCACUUUAACAACAUCAACUAAUAGCGUUAUCAAUUUGUACUUUGUAGCUACCAAUAACAUUAUAAAAAUAAAGGGUCAAAUUAUAUAGAAGUAAAGGAUUAAAUCUCUAAUUUCAAUUUAGUAAAGGGACUAAAAUGGAAUUAAACCUAUUAGUGGGGGUCGGAGUUUUUUCCUCGUUUGGUGAGGUAAAAAAAAAAAAAAACCCUAGUGGGGCAUAGUUAUAAUGUCACUUUGAUGAUUAUAAAUGAUGCGUUAGUUAGUCAUACUUUAGGUAAAAAACUGUGAGGUGGGAUUAGUGUAGAUUGAAAAUUUUUAGUGAAGGGGUUAAUUUAUACCUUCAAAAUUUUGCAAUAUUUGGUAGUUCCAUGAAAUAUUCCCCGCUAUUUAUCAACUUUUCAAUCACUCAAAUAGGUUUUAAUUUAGUUUUGUUGUGAAAUUUCUAAUUCAAGCAUACAAUGAGUAGAUUUUAUUAUGGGUCGGGUCGGGUUAUUAUAAAAUUUUAGGUGUAACGUCCCGAAUUUUUGGGCCUAGAAGUUAAAAGAUUUAAGCAUAGGGGCAGUAAGGAGGCCACACAUAAGUGAUUAGUUGUGCACUAUAGUGAUAAGAAUGGGCUUAUUAGUCUAGUGGUUAAAUGGAGUGUUAAUUAAGUUCAAGGUUUUUGGUUUGAGUCACUAUGUGUACAUUUUGGGAGUCUUUUUAUUUUGUUUUUUUUUAGUUAGUGAUAAUAAUUAAUUAUUUUAUUUUAUUUUUAUUAUUUUUCUUUUCUUUUCCACGUUAGUUCUCUCUACUUCUUGGUUUUUUUUUCUUUUUGUUCUUUUUCCUUGGACUUUCAAUUUGUGCAUUCUCUAUGUUUUUGAAUCGUUUGCUUACAGAUUUCGAAUUGUCGCACCUCUAUCGUCUUCUUCGUCGUUCAAUCAGGUGAGGGAUUCAAACUUUAACUACAUUGUUUAAUUUUGCAAAGUUUACGUGCGGCUUUUCUUGAAUAUGUGAUAACCCGAAGGUUUUUGGGUUUUGAUCGUUGGAAGUGAGGAAAAUACGUUAUAUUGUGAUAUGUUCUUGAUGUGGUUAAGGUUAGGGACAGUUUGGGUGGCUAAAACGGUGUUUUCGGGGCUAAUUUGGGGUGGUUUCAUGACCUCUCCGGCAGCUACACGGGCGUGUGCCGUGGUAGACAGUCAUAUGGAUUUGGGAACUAGGGUUUCCAGGCCAAAUUGGAUGCCACACGGCCGUGUGGCCGAUUUGGGGAUUUUGUCGAAAUUCACACGGCUGUGUCCCCUAGGCACAUGGGCAUGUGGGUUUGGAAUUAGGGUUUCAGAGAUUUGAAGUCACACAGCCUGGCCAUACGGCUGUGUGGCUGAUUUUGGGAUUUAGGGAUCCCACACGAGUGUGUGUUUCGUAACACACAACCAUGUCUAGUUGGCACACGGGCAUGUGAGACCCUCACAUAGCCGUGUCUGCCCUGCACCUUAUUUUAGCGAAAUUGGACAGUGAGUUACACAGCCUGUUCACACAGUCGUGUCUCUGCUUCGCACGGGCGUGUGCCUAUGUCACAUGGCCGUGUGCUAUCCUUCACAAGGGCGUUUGAAGCCUCACACGAUCUGGAUUGCUCUACACGGCUGAAGCAUACGGGUGUGUAGCCCUAUCUCGCCAAAUAAUGAUUUUAGGUCAAAUUUAAGUGCAAUCGUGACUCUAUGUAUUCCAACCCUCGACUGAGCUCUAGUGAGGGUAUUUACGACGCUGAUCUGAGUUUGGAUAAUGUGUUAAUUGUGAUUGGUUAUGUGACAUGUUUGAUUCUGAACCCGGGUUAGCUGGGUGAGUGUGUAUGCAACUAGUUCUGUCUGACUGUUUGAAUACGUGUCAUUGAUAUGCGAGCUUAUUUUGCAAUUGCUACUGAAUUCAAGUUACGAGUAUACUUAAGACUAAUUUUGUAACUAACUGAUUGGAUGUGAGCGUCUACUUCUGAAUAAUUGUUUGAGACUAGUAUUCUGAUUGUGUACAUCUGACUGCAUACAUACAUACAUAUGCAUAAACUAUUUUGGGCGGGAUUUUUGAAGAGAAGGUGUUGUAGGCCAAUUUUGGGCCCGUUUACACUUUAGGCCGAACAUACAUCAAACCCAUUUACAAUUAAACCCCAGCAUAACCCACAACCCAAACCCAACAAAUAAACCCAAAACCAAACCCAAAUUUAACCCAAUUCAAAUCCCAUAGACCCAAACCCACAUGUAAGCCCAAGUUGUUAGACCCAACUAGCUUGAUUUAGGGUUUCAAAAAAACUGAAACCCUAACCUACCCCCAGCGCCGCCAACGUCACAUCGCCCAUGCCAGUCCACUUGCACUACCUUUGCUCCACUGUUCAACCACCACCUGCAAAACAAAAGAGCACGCAACAGCAGCGCAAAAAUAGGAAAUAGACAGUGUAUGAACAACAAAAUCGGCUAUAAAGCCGAAUGGAAACCAAUGUAAUAGAAAAUAUUUUCGGUUAUUUUCUUCAUCAAUACAAAAAAAUAGAUUUAAACAUAUACAAGCAAUAAUUCGGGGAAAAUCAAAACACUAGAAUAACACCAAUUGGGCAACCAAAACAUCAAUAUCAAAAGCCUAAGGUGAUUUAAAUCUUUUUAUUUUUAUUUAUUUUUGAAUCAUACAUACCUAUGUAUUUUCAUAAAUAGUAUAAUAAAAAGGAAAAUAAAAGAAUAAAAAAAAGAUAGGAAAUUUUUACCUUUUCCGGCCACCGUGCGACGGUGGCACACGGCGGUCCGGCAACCAGACGUGGACGGCGACCGGCCUUGUGGCCGGAAUUCGCCUCUCCUUCUCCCCUCUCUCUUUUUUUUCUUUGCUAUGCAGAAAAUGAAUUUUUUUUGAAGAUUUUGGCCUUUUUAUAGCUUCCUAAAACGACGUCGUUUUGGGGGUUGCCCUUUAACCUCAAAACGACGUCGUUUUGCCCUGGAUCAGGUCGACCCGACCCUACCCACUCAGGAUCUGAGUGUUUUUGCUCUUAGGGGCUAAUUGCGCACGCGGUCCUUCCGCUUUUUCUAUGUUUUUCAAUCAGGUUUUUUAUGUAUUUUAAUUUGGCCCUAUAAUUAGUUGCGCUUUCCAAUUUGGUCCUCAAUGCUAUUGCGCAUUUUGGGUGGAGAGGCUUAUUUCGUUUUAAGUCCCUCCACUAUUUGUGCGCGUUGAAAUAGGUCCCCUUCCCUUCUUUUUAUUUCAGUUUUUGCCCCAAGCCUUUUAUUUUUAAUUCGAUUCGAUCCUUUUUUUAAUUACUUUAUUAUUAAAAUUAAUUAUUUUAGUAUUAUUGUUAUUAGCACUAUUCAUGUACAUAUAUAUUAUCAUUAUUGUUACUAUUACUAUUAUUAAUCUUCAUAUUAUUACUAUUAUUUCUUUAUUUUUAUAUUAUAUUAUAUUAUAUUAUUAGUUUUUACUAUUAUUAGUAUUAGUUUUAGCUUCAAUUAAUAUUUUUAACAUGCAUAUUUAUAUACUUUUAUGUAACAUUAUUAAUAAUUAUUUUUUAAAAUAUUAUUAUUAUUUUUUAAUACAUGCAUAUAUAUUAUGUGUAUAUUCUUUUAAUAGACAUUAUGUAUAUAUAAUUUUAUAUAUUAUUUUUAACUUUACAUUAUGUAUAUAUUGUUAAUAUCAUAUUAUUCAUAUAUUCUAUUAUAUUAUAUAACUAUAUUAUGUAUGUAUUUUUAACACUAUAUUACGUACAUACUUUCAAUAUCAUUAUUAUUAUGUAUAUAUAUUUUUAAUAUAUAUAUGUGUAUAUUUAUGUAGUAUUAUUAAUAGUUGUUUUUAAUAUUAUGAUUAUUUCUAGUAUAUAUAUAUUAUGUAUAUACUUCUAAUACUAUAUAUUGUAUAUUUCUAAUACCAUUAUUAUUUAUAUGUGUAUAUGUGUAUGUAUUUAUGUAUCGUAUUAUAGUUGUUGUUUUUUUUGUAUCAUUAUUGUUGCUAAUAUAUAUAUAUCAUGUAUAUAUGAUUUUUUUUAUAUAUAUUAUGUAUAUAUCUUUAAUAUUAUAUUAUUUAUAUAUUUAUGCUUACAUAUUAUCUUACGUAUAUAUUUUUAAUAACUAUAUUAUGUAUAUACUAUUACUAUAUAUCUAUUUAUGUUGCAUUAUCAAUGGUUGUUUUUACUAUUAUUAUUAUUCUUAAUAUAUAUAUUAUGUAUACAUUUUUAAAUACUAUAUUAUAUACAUAUAUUUUUAAUACCAUAUAUGUACAUAUCAUUAUUAUAUCUAUUUUUACCCCUAUUACAUUUGUUAUUAAUAUUAGUAUAUAUUUUAUUAUACGUGUAUAUAUAUACUUUUUAAUAUAGUAUUAUUUUUAUAUAUCAUUAUAUUUAUUAUUAUACUUAUUAUUUUCGCUAUUGUUACUUAUUAUUUUAUUUUAAUAUUAUUGUGUAUUAUUUGGUAUACAUAUAUCUUUUUGUACAUAUUGUUAUUUUUUAUUAUACGUAUAUUAGUUUAUUAUGGUAUUAAUACAUUUUUACCUUUUUCUUUUAUUGUAAAUAUUAUUUAUUAUUACUCUAAUAUCCUAAUAUUAUAUUAUAAUACUUUUUAUUAAUCAUCUCAUUAUUUUGCAUCGUUUAUUUACUUAUGAAUUUUUGUUAACAUCAUCAGUUUUUUUUUAUCAUUAUUUUAGAAACAUUUUU
rnacentral:lncRNA from 1 species